GACGAACGCUGGCGGCGCGCCUAACACAUGCAAGUCGAACGGAGCUGAGAGAAGCUUGCUUUUCUUAGCUUAGUGGCGAACGGGUGAGUAACGCGUGAGUAACCUGCCCUGGAGUGGGGGACAACAGUUGGAAACGACUGCUAAUACCGCAUAAGCCCACGAUCCGGCAUCGGAUUGAGGGAAAAGGAUUUAUUCGCUUCAGGAUGGACUCGCGUCCAAUUAGCUAGUUGGUGAGGUAACGGCCCACCAAGGCGACGAUUGGUAGCCGGACUGAGAGGUUGAACGGCCACAUUGGGACUGAGACACGGCCCAGACUCCUACGGGAGGCAGCAGUGGGGGAUAUUGCACAAUGGGGGAAACCCUGAUGCAGCGACGCCGCGUGGAGGAAGAAGGUUUUCGGAUUGUAAACUCCUGUCGUUAGGGACGAUAAGGACGGUACCUAACAAGAAAGCACCGGCUAACUACGU
rnacentral:rRNA from 1 species